CCAUGAGGGAAAGAUGAAAAGGACUUUGAAAAGAGAGUUAAAAGUGCCUGAACUUGCUGAAAGGAAAGCGGAUGGAACCAGUGUUGCUUGGCGAGAUUGUUGCGUGCGAAAGUGAUUGCUUGCUGCAUCAGCGCAAGCGGUGCUGUGGGUUUUGAUCUGGCUGUGCGCGAUGCUUCUUGCCUCGUGUGUCAUCGUCAGUGUGCUGGUGAGGACAACUCUUGGGACAUGGUAGCCUGCCCCUGGGCGUGCGAAUGUGCCUUGCAGAACUCACUGUCAUAUUGCUCCUCCACAUGUGAGGUCGUGCUGCCUUUCUUUGGCACCUGUGUUGGCGUUUGUGCCUGGCCUAGGUGUCGUUUGCUGAGCACCUUCCUGACAUAGCCAUGGUGACUAAAUGGUUCUAUUCGACCCGUCUUGAAACACGGACCAAGGAGUCUAACAUGUGUGCGAGUUCUUGGGCGGCGAAACCUACGUGCGCAAUGAAAGUGAUUACUGAGAUGCUAGCAUCAGCAGCCGACCGAUCAAUUGGGAGAGGUUUGAGCAUGAGCAUAUCUGUUAGGACCCGAAAGAUGGUGAACUAUGCUUGUGAAGGGUGAAGUCUGGGGAAACUCAGAU
rnacentral:rRNA from 1 species